rnacentral:lncRNA from 10 species
CAGGCAUGUGCCACCACACCUGGCUAAUUUUGUAUUUUUAGUAGAGAUGGGGUUUCACCAUGUUGAUCAGGCUGGUCUCAAACUCCUGACCUCAGGUGAGCUGCCCACCUUGGCCUCCCAAAGUACUGGGAUUACAGGCGUGAGCCACCACACCCAGUCUCCACAUUUUAUAUACUGCUUCCUGCAUCAUUGGGCUAAGAAAAAAGAUACUGAAUAUUCUCCCCAAAAGACUCUUGUAGAAAGUAGCUGAAAACUGUCAGAACAGAUUCCUCCUCCUUCACCCCUUUAUUAAGCAGCAGCAAUGGAGUUACAUGUUAAGGACAGCAGAGCUGACCAGUCACAAGACAGAACUGCUACCUACCCACCAUCUUUGAACUAGUAUGUGAGAAAGAAAGAAAUGCCCGUGUGUGCGGUUUUUUUAAUUGAGGCAUAAUUAACACUCAAAAACUGCGCAGAGCUUGAUGUCCCCUUCACUGCGCUUUGACAGGUAUACACCUUACAGUUUUACAACCAUCACACCAAACAAGAUAUAAAACACUGCAUCUAUGUUACCUAAGCCAUUGUCUGUUGGGAUUCCUUUGUUAUAACUGCUUCACCUGUACCUUAACUAGUACAACUCCCAAAUGAUCUUUCUGCCUCUAACCCCCCAUAGUUCUUCAAGUAGAUCUUCCUUAACUGCCAAGUUGGGCAUUUUGCAUUUUUAUUAAAGGCCUACAAGUCUUCCUGAUGGCUCUUCUCAUUAAAAUGAGCCCACCCAAGCUUUAAUAUCAUUGCCUCUUUCUUCUCUUAGCUGAGAAUUAUCUUUUCUUAUGCUGGCAUGAUGGUUUCUAACAUGAUCCCAUCCACAGUCAGAUUUUGGUAGAGUUCCAGGAGGUCUUUAGUGAGAUUACUCUGUGUGGUCCUGAAACUCCCUUGACACUGCAUGUUUUAAUUCUUUCUUGGGAGAUGAUGGAAGGUGAUGGAAAUAACCAACUGAAACUUUUAACGAUUGUUCGGAAGUCACAUGAAAAUUUGUAGGCACCUAUCGCUGAAGGCUAAAUUUUAUGUUAUUACAAUAAAUGGCGUAUAUAGUGCUUUUGAAGUUGAUAUGAGAAAUUGCAGUUCUAAAUUGUUUGCUGUUUAAUGUUGGUACAAAACCACAGAAAGCGAUCGGCCCAGAAAACCUUUAAUUGAGGUAAUGGGUUUUAACUGAAUGCCACAUCUCACAGUUACUUUUGCCUUAAAGGUGAAAUGGGGUUCAGAUGCCUUGAAGCUGAUGUCCCACUAUGACCAAAACCUGUGCGUUUACCUUCCCCUAAAAGAGAGAGUAGUUAAAAUUUGCUGAGACUUCUAAAAAAAAAGAUUAACUCAUAAGCAGAAGGCAGAAGCAAGAAUCUCCAGAUAAUUUCACCAUUUAGAUAUCUGCCCCUUUAGAGAAUAAAGAGGCAGAAAGCCUGGUCCGUACAGACCUCCAGGUCCUGAAAUUCCUUAAUUAUGGCUUAUUAGAAAAAAAACCAACUACUAGACCUGACUCAGAGAAGGAAGUCACUCCUGGUUCUUGCAGGAGCCUAAUCAUUAGAGCUGCAGAGAGCCCAGAAGGGUGAAUGUGUUCGGUCUCUCUGGGCCUGCCUGGCUCCUAAGUCAAGGCUUUAUCCCACAUCUGCCUCUGCUUUCCAUAAAGCAAACCCCUCAACUCCACUGUGGCCAGAGUUGGCAACACACCAUCCCUGGGCUCCCAGCAAGAGGAGACUGUGAGUCAGAUCUAUCGUGGCCUCACUACUCUGCUUCCAUCUCUCUGCCAGGGAGCCACUCAGCAGCAGAUGGAAAACUUGCUCUUGGACUAAAAGAAGAUGGCAGCUCGUUGCACUAUCUGCACAGCUGUCCAUAGGGCACCAGCAUGGGUCUGCUCUGGGCUACUGCCAGGAUGAUGCUCCCAAGAAGUGCAUUUCAGCUAAAUAUGGAAGACUUUCCUAUCAUUCCGAUAGCUCCAAUGGUGAAUGAGUGCAUGUGCCCCUUGUCACUGGGUCUCCAAGUAUAUACUACAUGAUCUUCUGCCAGGAGAUUUACAGAAGGGAUUCUUGCACUGAGAGGGAAAAUGGAUUAUAAUUUCUAAAAACCUCUUCUUGCUAAGAACAGCCUUCCUCUCUGUCCCAGAACCCUUUGUCCUUUCAAUCAUCCUGCAAUCACUUGACUCUCGCUGAGGCUCCCACCCUGAGCUGAGUCCUGGCCCAGGCUCUAGGACUAAUGAUGACCUCAGACAAGUGGGAUUUGGGGAGCUGGAACUCAACACUCUGGGAUGAGAAGUUAAGCAGCAGAGCUGCUGAGCCAAGAUAGACUUUAGGGCCCAGUUGUGACACCUGGGUGCUCUCGUUUCUGAAAUCAAGUCACCUUUGUGAACCCUGGUCUUGGGCUUGGAAUCCUAGUCUCAUUUCUAUCAGAUCUUCUGUACAGGAAGCCUGUGCAGGAACAGGGGAGGGCAGAUACUUUCCAUUCACCCCAGGCUGUAGGCCAGAGACAGUCAAGAACUAAAACUGAGUCUCCAUGUGCACUUGUACACACACACAGUCAUAAACACACUCUCUCUCUUUCACACACACACACACACACACACCCCACACACACACCAAAUGCACCUCGCAAGUGGUCCAGUUCAGGCCCUGGUUCACCAGAG